ensembl:lncRNA
AAAAAAAAGUCAUGUAUUUUAUAUAUUUUAGUUUGCAUUAAAUGUUCAACUGUUCAAAAUGUAACCUAAUAGGGCCUACCGUGAACUUGAAAAGAAUUAGGCCUAUUUAUUGAUUGUUUUUUCAUGAACAUCCCCCCCUCUGUUUUUUUUUGACAAAUCACACCCUGCAAAACAAGAGCCAUACACCAGGUAUAGAUGGCAUACCUUUAAAACGUUACCUUGCACUAUGGGAUAUUCUAGGACCAGUAUGGUUAGAGAUGUUAAAUUAUGCUAUAGAAAAAGGCCCCUUCCAAAGAGAUCUGAACACAGCCCUGAUCACGGUCAUGAAAAAGGCCCCUUCCAUAGAGAUCUGAACACAGCCCUGAUCACUGUGAUGCUUAAGGCACCUUCCAUAGAGACCGUCAUGCUUAAGGCCCCUUCCAUAGAGAUCGUCAUGCUUAAGGCCCCUUCUCUGGAGAUCUGAACACAGCCCUGGUCACGGACAUGCUUAAGCUCAGUAAUGACUUGGAAUGAGUGUGUCAGUAAAGUCCAAAAUUCCUUGAUAAAUAAAUGCUGAACUCAAGAUUGAAAUGCUGACCUCAAGAAGGCUCUUGUCUUAGCCAGCAGACUUGUGACGGUAGUUUGGAAAAUAAUUAGUCCCGAUGAAACGAGGAUUUAUUAGGGGGCAUCUCUCUUCUGAUUAUAUUCAUCAGCUCUUAAACACACUGAGUUCAACACAUAAACCACCUCCUGCCUGUGGCCUGUUCUUUCUAGAUGCUGAAAAGGCAUCUUUAAUGGUCAUAUCUUGGAGGGUUUUGAAGGGUUUUAAAAUAAUUUAAAUUGGGUGAUUCAUUUAUCAAUAUAAUUCAAACUGUGUAUGCUAAUCCUUCAGCCCGGGUAUGUGUUGGAGGAGGCUUCUCAGAGGUAUUGAACAUACGACUGGGCACACAACAAGGGGACCCUUCGUCUCCUUUCAUUUUGACUCUAUCUAUCGAACCACGUGUACAUGGAAUUAGAAACUCCCCUCAGAUCUCCCCUAGAACAAUAGUAUAACGCAUUAUCGCUUUAUGCGGAUGACACAUUGUUUUAUAUGGCAAAAAGUUCAACAAACUGUGUUUUGAAAACACUGGAGCAUUUUGGAUAUCUUUCAGGAUUCAAAGCUUAUCUGUCAAAAUCAGCACUGCUUACAAAUGAGGUUCUCUACCUGGGUAUUACAGUUAAUACUUCCCUCAUCAACAGUAGCUAAAAAAAAAAAUACUAUUCAAUUUAAAAAAAUUGAAAAUGAUAAAUGAAGAUUCCCACCUUUCCCUGAAGGCAAAAAAAUAUGCAAAUUCUGGUUGGCAGGCCUAACUGCAGUCAGCGUUGGAAACUUCGUCAUGAUCUCAAGCACUGACUGGCUCAGAAGCUUUUUGGACAUGUCUUAACACAAACUAUAAUCAGCCAGACUAAAUGAUGCAAGACCAAACACAAUUUUAGUGUAGAUAAAAAUUGAUAUCUGUCAAAAUAGGAAUGUGGUGCCACGCACUGUAUUAACAAGCAAAACAAGACGAGCCCAAAGACGUUUGCACCAACAGAACUGUAUUAACAAGCAAAACAAGACGAGCCCAAAGACGAAACAGAACAAGGCAGCCAUCCGUGCACCAUUGUGGACCCAUGCUCCCCUCUUGUUAUCUUUGAAAAAGAGUGUUGGAAUGGGAUGUUGAUGUCUAGAACUGAAACAGUUCAUAUUUACUCAAAUUAUUAGCGGUGAAGAAUCCGCUAACAUAUCCCCCCCACUCAUGGAAUGCCUCUCGUCCAAUCAGAAGUCAAUAAUGUGACCUAUAGUGUGUUCUAGAAUUCUUUUUCUCAGAGUUGUACUAUGGAUAAUGUUUCCGAUGUUAUGCAAGUGACAUACAGUAGGAUACAUUAUUAAUAUUCUGAUAUUGAAUUCAUAGCAACAUGUAAUUAUGGCGGAGUACAAUAGACAUGAAUGAAUUGGGUCAAAAUGAUGGAGAGUAAUAACUCCAAAAAAAUGAUUUCAUCGUCAUAAGAUAAUAAUGAUGGCGAGCCCCACAUAUUUAGGAUUUGAUUGUCGUCAAGGGACCUCAGGCCUUCUUUAUGGGAGCUUCAUUGAACCCAGACCUGUUCCAUAUUGAUGUUAUGUUCAACUGAACUAGGUGAACUGUUAGGGUAGCAUCAGAAUGGGUUGUUCUAUUAGUCACAUUAGCAGUUGUUUAAAAACUGGAUCCAGUUUAGCUUGUUUAACUGCUUUCCCUGCCGCAACCUUUCUUAUCUAUGCCAUACAGCCUGUUUCUUUCAUAUGAAAACAAGGUGUCAGACUGUGUCUUGUUCCGGCACAAAUGAACCCCUGCGUGGGCCCUUUGGCUCUUUAGGUGCUGGACCUGUGAGUCACUAUUCUGUUUGCUAUGGCGGCAGUGGUACAGGAGGUAAAGGAGUCGUUUAGUAAUCAGA